CACUAACAUGGAGUUUGGCUGUUGCUUACAGAUUUUGUAAUGCAAUCAGAUUAGGAUUGGUGUCCCCUUCUUCCAAACUGCUUCUAGUUCCCGUUAUCUUCCCGAUUGUUCUAAUUUUUAACCUGAUUUCUUCUGCUUCAUGUACCUUCAUUUCUCACUAUUCUCCCAACCAAUCAUCAGGUGCUCAGAAAGUCACAGAAGGUUCCUAUCGAUCUACUGACACCGGUUCUCAUCUUUGCUCUGCUUCUCUACAUGCUCCGUUGAUGAGUUCGUCAGCAUCUGCACACCUUCUCUCAGGAGGACGCGAUGGAAAACUGGUGUAUAGGCAGACAUCUCUACUUCUCUUUGUCGAUGAUUCUCACAAAAUCAGUCCCCUUUUCGCGUUUGAUGUUCUUCCCUCUAAUUUGAAAUUGACGAUGCUUCACAUAAGAUAUUCUUCUGCUACUAUCAGUGGUGUCCAAGACAGGCCUAAAAUUGGUCUACAAGUAGAAUUGAAGAUGUCUGUUUAUCUGAAGGAAGAAGGAAUCAAAAUUUUAGGGAAAUCGAAUAAAUUAUUCAACAUCAGCAAAUAGAGAGAACGAGGAAUUUGCCUUCAAUUGCCCUGAAACUAAAAACAUCUGUCAAGCAUACAUGCGAUGAUGAAGAACCUCAGAUGUUGGAUAAACAAAAGGAAUGGACAACGGAAGAACCACGGGUGGUUUAAUGUAAAUAGUUAUGCAUAAGACAAGUUAUUAAAAGCAUUAACUCAACCUCUAAUGUGUAAAAUGAUGAUAAUUCCCUUGGUGUUUGGAUCAGAUGUGGUAAGAAAUCAGUAAAAGUUACAAGUCUAUGUUGGUUAUAACAAAAUUGAAUGAUUUGAUUUGAGGGGAUUAAAGAGAAAGUAGGAAGAAUGUUCGCACAGAUGUGUGAAGAUUUUGUGAAUCCUUUCCAAAUAAAUAUGGAAGAGGAGGACUGCUGCUUCACAAUGAGUGGUUGAGUACUGGAUGUUUACCCAACACCUCUCCACAGAUGUUCAACAACCUAUGAUUUUUGUAGCUUACUACCAAGAUGUCACUGUUAUUUUGGAUAAGGUAUAUCUUUAGGAUGUUAAAAAAACUAGCAAGAUUGGACCCACAAAUGUUUGAAGAUUGGCAAAUAAAUUGGAAGAGGCAAGAUAUAAGGAGGCUCUCAAUGAGGAAAUUUUAAACUGGGUAUGCUAUAGAAACCAUGUUUGACGGAAGCAAACAAAGGAUUGAACAUUAGUUUGUGGAGGUAAGUCAAACCUCAUGUACUGUUCUUUUACUUACUUUAGUUGUAUUUAUGAAAUUUACAGUUUGAUUAACACUUUUUUGUAUUUCAUUUUGGUUGAGGAGUGAUGGAAUAAGUAUUUUUGCAUAAACAAUGUUGUAGUUUGGGGAUUAUAAAUGCAACAUCUGUUUUUUUUUCUUUCGAGUAUAUGAACUGUUUCAACAAAAUGACCAUUUUACCCCUUUUUUCAUCUAUGUUUCCUUAAUAUUUCAUCGAAUUCAUGUAAUCUUGAUUUCUGUAAUUGUGAAGGAUAGAAGAAAAAGAAUAACACUAAAGGCGUAAAAUCCAACUUUUGGACUUAUAUACCAUUUUGUUGAAUAGCUAUAACAGAGCCAAACAAAAGUAUAUUUUGUAAUCUUAAUUAUACAUUAUUAAAUGAAUUGUAAUAUAAACGGUGAUACAUGACAUUUUAUUCAAACUUUUGUUUAUUUUAUACAUACAUGUUUGAAAAAACAUUCCUCUGCUCCCAUGCAAUGCGGUGUUGUUUUUUUUUCAGGUAAAAGUGGUUGUAGCAUCAACCUAAGUUUUUGAAUCAUGGUAAGACAAAAAUAGAAGUUCAGACCAAAAUAACCCUAUAAAUGGAUGAUUUGGUAUCACUGACAACUCAAUUUCUAUUUAGAUAUUUCUAAAAGUCUUACCAUUUACAAUAGUGAAAACCGCUUGCAUAACAUUGCUACACUUAGAUAGAGUUUUGAAAGUACACUGCUAUAACCAUAAUAGAAAAAACUUAAAGUAGGACGCUAUAAUAAAAAAUCAAUAAAAGGAGGCUGCUAUUUUGCACCUUUUGAUUUUAUACUAGUACUGCUUAUUUUUGAAUUUAUUAUCAAAUUAUGCAUGCAGAAAUUGGUAAGAAAUCCAAUUUGUUUCAUAAAGUUGUAAAAGGUGCCACUCUAAUUUUUUUAGAAAGACAAUUACAUUCAUAAGUCAUAACACUAACUGAAUAUCAUAAACUUUAUAAUACUACCAUAUGCAGUUAAGAUAAUGGAAUGGCUAAUUAAUAUUACGACCAAAAGUAAUAACCUCCAUGUAAGCUCAUUAAAAUCUCCAAGACGGACAACUACACUGCAACAUACACCGGUGAGAAUUUAAACUUUCUACCCUCACUAUUUAUAGACAAAAUGCAAGCUUUUCUAUUUUUUUUUUUUUUUGCCUUAUUGACUGUAAAAGUCAAAUCUGUCCCUAACUCCGGAACAUAUUACUAGCAUUUAUGAAGGCCCUCCGCCAACCUACAGUGCAAAACUUUUUGAUUUUUGGUAGGCUAAAGAUGGACCGAUUGAGGUUAGAAGGCAUGUGUCUACACGUUAUGGGUACCCAAGGUUAUUUCGGCGAUGUAUUGACAAAAAUCGUUCAUUUGUAAGGGUGCCAGUUGGGUAUCUUCAACAUCUUCAUGUAUUUAGCAUAUAUCUAUCUAUAUUAAGUGCUUUAUAUGUUAAGCUCAUUAACUUAAAAACAAAAGAUUCAUUUGUUUUUGUAUAUGUAUUUAUGGAAUUUUUCAUGAUAUGUAAUUUUUUCCAUUAUUUGUAGUAUA